UACGUAGGGUGCGAGCGUUGUCCGGAAUUACUGGGCGUAAAGAGCUCGUAGGCGGUCUGUCGCGUCGGCUGUGAAAACCCGAGGCUCAACCUCGGGCCUGCAGUCGAUACGGGCAAACUAGAGUACUGCAGGGGAGACUGGAAUUCCUGGUGUAGCGGUGAAAUGCGUAGAUAUCCGGAGGAACACCGGUGGCGAAGGCGGCUUCCUGGACCGACACUGACGCUGAGGCGCGAAAGCGUGGGGAGCAAACAGG
rnacentral:rRNA from 1 species